rfam:Picea glauca, whole genome shotgun sequence.
UCUUCUAUACAUGCCUACAACGUUAAUGCACCAUAUCCCAUAAGAAAUACACAGUUAAGCAUGCUUGGGAUAGAGUAGUACUGGGAUGGGUGACCUCUCGAGAAGUCCUAGUGUUUUGCAUUC